UGACCGUCCAUAUUUGUUGGCCAACAUUAUUCGAGAAUCAAAGAUAGAGUCGCUGCAAGCAAAGGUGUUUGAUAUUGAGAGUAAAAUAACUAAAUGAUACGGUCAAUUUGUCUAAAAAUUCAUCAAUCUGACCAUCAAUUUGAGUUAUUUUACUCUCAAUAUCAAACACCUUUGCUUGCAUAGCCUUUAUCUUUGAUUCUCAAACAAUGUUGACCAACAAAUCUGGAUGGUCACAUCGGAAGUGACCGAACUUGUGUUUGUACUCAGCACGUUCAGAUUUCACAAAACCCUAGUAAUAAAAUGGGGUUAAAAUCCUACAAAUUCUUAAUUAAAAUUUCCAAAAAAAAAUUCAAAUCUUACAUGUUGUUCAAGUUCUCUGUCAAAAUCAAAGUAUGCCAAAUCCCCAAAGUGGCCAUUACUGAUGACCUUUUUCAGACUUGAUUCGUUAGCUAUGAUGAUAGUGUCAUCCGUCUUCCUUGUCAUGGCUCCAAAGACAACAUAGAGACUUUGGACUAAGCCGGCCCCCAUUGCUGGCCAAUGCUUGAAACCGACCCUUAAUGAUUGCCCAAGCUUCAAUCCGAACAGAAUUGCCGACAAUGGAAUUCAGACAUCUCAUGAUGCUAAACGUGUUGCUGGAUCUGCAAAGAUAUCAGAGUUGAGCAACAGGAACAGAACAUUGUCCUCCAAUACUCUUAUGAGCUCUGAGCAGGAAAUUGAAUGCAGCGGGGCUUCCAUGAAGCUUGUAUCUGGAUUUCUUAAGCAGAAGCAAUUCGAGGAGGACAUUCAAUGCAGAAACAGGGUUAAACAAGUUUGGGUCCCUUCAACGACAAUAACACAACUGGCUGGUAUUAGUAGCAGCGGUAAUGGUGAUGGCAGUAUUGAUCAUAAACUUCAUUUUACUGUAUUUGAGGAGCCUCUAAAUGGACGUUUUGUAGUUGAGUACCUAGGUAUGUUCGGAGGAUGUGUGCAGAUGUGUGACUUUAAGGCAGCUACCAAUACUCUGUAUGUUUGGGAGUUGAAAGAACAAGAUCAUGAUCGGAGGG